rnacentral:lncRNA from 1 species
AUAGCAUCAGUAAAUAUUGGUUGGUAUAAAUAAAUAUCAGUCUGUCACUUUUAGGACUAUGAUCCCAUUUGCAGAAAAUGUCCAUGCAUGAGGAACACCAAUCCUAUAAUCCAUCUAGAAGCACCCACAAAGGCUAAUCUGUACCCCACCUAUUAUUUCUGCCUGUUCGUUUCAUGCUUUUCCAGAGCUGAGGUUAUUCUGCUAUCUGUGUACUGGUGAUUGUGGUGUGCUGUAGCAUUGCACCAUCAUCAUAGGAAUUGCUAGGAGUGACUUAAGCCUGAAAAAAAAAGUUUUUCUACUUUCCCAUUUCAACCUUUCCUUAAUAAUUGUUGGUGGAUGUGCUUGCUGCCCUGAAAGUUAUCCACCAUUUUCAUUACUGGUCUUCCAUUUCUCUGCCUUUGGCAAGUGGUGAAGACAAACCAUUUAAAAUACUUUUGGGUGUGUCAUUGGGCAGCUGUGAAGUUCUGCUGAGUAUCAAAAAAUGCUGCCUGAAUUACAUUGGGGAAGGUAGCGGAAGUUCCCACUGCUGAAGGGAAAGUAGAUUCAAGUCCACCAUACAGCUUCAGGCUGUAAUUCUGCUGGAGAAGGCCUCAAUUGGAGUGGCAACAGUUAAGUGUAGACCCAAUAUCAGUGGUUCACAUUCUGGAAUUCACUGGAAAAUGUGCAAUGGUAGCGCAUUGUGUGGGUGGGGAAUUUUCUUACAUGUAUGGUGAUGUUUUGCUAGAUGCUGCUGAUUGUCACACCCCUUUUUCCAUCUGGGAUGCUGCUCACCUAGUAUUGUAUGUAAGACUGCACACACAAAACAUUUGCAACAGUUGUAACAUACCUUUUCAUGUGGGGUGAUUUGUGUCUGCCUGCCACAGAAUUGACUGAUGUACUUGCCAGCAAUUCAACACAGAUUUCAGUCAUCAAUCUUACUUUCUCUUCCCAAGUUUCAGGCGUUCAGUUACAAGAUGGCGGCGCGCUCAUACGCUGCGGCUCUGAGCUCCCAAUACCUCACCUACUCACGCACAAAACUGGUAAACAUCGGGCUCACAAGAAAAAUAGAGAUAACUAGAGAGUUUCAAAGGUCCCACUGUAUACCAAACUGCAUAGUAAGACCUCCAGGAUCUCUAUGGAUUGUCGACGGGAGGGGGAAGUGCUGAAGGAAGCGAAAGAGAAAAGAGUGAAAGCAAAAACGUGGUUGCAGAGCUGGUCUGUUAACCCGGCUUCGAAAAAGACCCACCAGACCAGCACUGCCAAGCGUCUUCCUGGCCAACAUCAGAUCUCUCGUCCACAAAAUUGACGAAUUACAGUUGCUGAUGGCAGCAAACAAGCUUCUUUGUGAGAGAUGUGUGGUAAUUAUUACAGAAACUUGGCUACAUUCAGCAGUACCGGAUGCGGCAGUUGAGCUGAUAAAUAAUUUAUCACUCUGAUAGAAACAGUGAUUCUGGUAAAGCUAGGGGUGGAGGAGUUUGUAUUUACAUACACAAUGGUUGGUGCAUUAACAACAAAGUAGCUUACACGUAUUGCUCCCUAGAUCUAGAAUUGAUGGCAGUUACAUGUCGGCCAUUUUAUUUGCCUAGAGAAGUAACUGUCAUAAUUAUUAUAGCUGUUUAUAUCCCAUCCAAUGCUAAUGUCAGUGCUGCAGGGUGUCACCUUCAUUAUUAUUUUUUAGUAGCCAUCAGAUGUGCAGACAUUAGCUCAAAUGUUUGUACAAUUUGAUUGCAAUUUUUUUUUCAAAGUUGUUAAUGCUUCAGGGAUCAGGUGGGAGAUGACUGCAUGGUGUCUCAACACAUCAAUACGGUGCAGAGAGAUUGUGCAGCAAACUUGCAGAACCAGUUUUCUCUGAGCUCAUUUUUGGAUAGGAAUUGUUCUUUUGCACAGACGACAGUGAGCAGGUUUCAAAAGUGGCUCCAUUACUAUACUCAAAUAAUUGUUUGUUUGUAGCCCAAAUAACUAGAGAGUAAUCAUUACAGUGUAGUGCAAUUAUACAUGUCUUUUCAGAAGCAAGCCCAGUUGACUUUAGUGGGACUUAGGGUAAAUAAUGUUGAGCCUGAUUUGAAUGUAUGGUGUUCAAAUCGAAUAACAAAGUACAGUGGUACCUCGGGUUAAGAACUUAAUUUGUUCUGGAGGUCCGUUCUUAACCUGAAACUGUUCUUAACCUGAAGUACCACUUUAGCUAAUGGGGCCUCGCGCUGCCACCGCACAAUUUCUGUUCUCAUCCUGAAGCAAAGUUAUUAACCCGAGGUACUAUUUCUGGGUUAGCAGAGUCUGUAACCUGAAGUGUCUGUAACCUGAAGCGUCUGUAACCCGAGGUACCACUAUAGUAAGUAAUAAUUCAAAUGACCGGUUUUGCUCUGAGAACUUAUGCAUCAAAACUUAAGAGUACCCAACAUUCAUUAUUUGGUGUUAAAUUUUUUAGAAAUCAGGAUCUACAUGGAUCUCCUAUUGGUGUUCGGAGUUAACAUGCUCACAGAAGCUAAACAGAACAUUGGAUCCCUGUUGGAGGAGUAUACCUGGAGGUUGGUUUAAGUGAGGUUAGGAAAAUAAGAAAGCUAUACUUAUUGAUGGAAUUACAUGCUCGAAAGGAAAUAUCCUUGUUCUAACUAAGGUGCAGGUGGCAAAAACCCCCACAAAAAAACAUGCUUGCUCAAGAGACUCAAGGUGAUUCAUUGCAGGGCCAUUUCUAAGAAUGGGGCUCACAUUUUGGGAGAACGGGUGGUGCUGAGGGUGAGAUGUAUCUCUUGUGCGUGUGGUCCUAUGGUAUAGUGGUUAGCACUCUGGACUCUGAAUCCAGCGAUCUGAGUUCAAAUCAAGGUAGAACCUAAAAUUUGUAUUUCGAGAGCCAGUGUGGUGUAGUGGUUAGAGUGUUGGGCUAGGACCUGGGAGGCCAUGGUUCAAAUCCCUGCUCAGCUAUUAAACUCACUGGGUGACCUUGAGCCAGUCACUGUCUCUGAGCCUAACUGUCAGGUUCCCAGCUUGAUAACACAGUAAGCGUAGAUAAUGAAAAAGGAGGAUUUAUUGCAGAAACAAACAGAUAGCUCCGGACGGCUCUAACGAAGCCUCCGGCGCCAUUACUCAAGAUGACCCUUCUGAAAAGUUCUUCCGGCAUCUCCAACAGAUAUUGAACUUAUGACUGAUGUUUCUUGUUUUGCUUCUGAUCUAACAACACCCCCAUUCACCGACUCUAUGGACUUAUUAGAUCAGAUCCAACCUCUUCCAGGUCUAAGAGGGGUUUGUUUGCGUCUGAUUGUGCUUCCAUCAAGCUUUGGCUGUGUUCCAGCCUGCUCUCAGCUACUGCCUUACCAUCUGGCUCAUCAAGGUCAGGAAAAGCCAAAGUCUGCAACUGCUGGCUAUCUCCUGCCUGACUAACAUCAAAGCCUCCCUUUUGACUGCUUUCUGCAUUUGGCUGCAAACCCUCACUUUGAGCUGGCUCAUUCCUGACACUAACCUACCCCACAGGCUUCUUGUGAGGGUGCAGUGGGGAGGAAGAGAACCAUGUAUGCCACAUUCAUCUCUUUGGGAGAAAGGUGGCAUAUAAAUGCAAUUAAAUAAACAAAUGUUGAGAAAGUUUGUCAGCAACAUGCCUGUGCUCCAGAUUGGCCAGUUCCUUCCAUUUCUGGACAAGGAGGGGGUGCUGGCACUGCAUGGCAGGGUCAUCAAGAAUGCUAAGGUGCAGCUUGCAUUCCUGUGAUUAUGUUUAAAUUGUUUCUGUUCACUUUGUUCCCCCUCUGGUCUUGAGCUAAGCACAUAUUGGUUGUUCUCCAAGCAUCUCUAUGCCCCUGCUAUAAUUACAAUAAAGACUGCCA